rnacentral:rRNA from 1 species
UGCCUUACACAUGCAAGUCGAACGGCAGCACGGGAGCAAUCCUGGUGGCGAGUGGCGAACGGGUGAGUAAUAUAUCGGAACGUGCCCGGUCGUGGGGGAUAACGUAGCGAAAGCUACGCUAAUACCGCGUACGAUCUACGGAUGAAANCGGGGGAUCGCAAGACCUCGCGCGAUUGGAGCGGCCGAUAUCAGAUUAGGUAGUUGGUGAGGUAAAGGCUCACCAAGCCGACGAUCUGUAGCUGGUCUGCGAGGACGACCAGCCACACUGGGACUGAGACACGGCCCAGACUCCUACGGGAGGCAGCAGUGGGGAAUUUUGGACAAUGGGCGCAAGCCUGAUCCAGCAAUGCCGCGUGCAGGAUGAAGGCCUUCGGGUUGUAAACUGCUUUUGUACGGAACGAAACGGUGAGCUCUAAUACAGUUUGCUAAUGACGGUACCGUAAGAAUAAGCACCGGCUAACUACGUG